rnacentral:rRNA from 1 species
GCUCAGAUUGAACGCUGGCGGCAGGCCUAACACAUGCAAGUCGAGCGGUAGAGAGAAGCUUGCUUCUCUUGAGAGCGGCGGACGGGUGAGUAAAGCCUAGGAAUCUGCCUGGUAGUGGGGGAUAACGUUCGGAAACGGACGCUAAUACCGCAUACGUCCUACGGGAGAAAGCAGGGGACCUUCGGGCCUUGCGCUAUCAGAUGAGCCUAGGUCGGAUUAGCUAGUUGGUGAGGUAAUGGCUCACCAAGGCGACGAUCCGUAACUGGUCUGAGAGGAUGAUCAGUCACACUGGAACUGAGACACGGUCCAGACUCCUACGGGAGGCAGCAGUGGGGAAUAUUGGACAAUGGGCGAAAGCCUGAUCCAGCCAUGCCGCGUGUGUGAAGAAGGUCUUCGGAUUGUAAAGCACUUUAAGUUGGGAGGAAGGGCAGUUACCUAAUACGUGAUUGUUUUGACGUUACCGACAGAAUAAGCACCGGCUAACUCUGUGCCAGCAGCCGCGGUAAUACAGAGGGUGCAAGCGUUAAUCGGAAUUACUGGGCGUAAAGCGCGCGUAGGUGGUUUGUUAAGUUGGAUGUGAAAUCCCCGGGCUCAACCUGGGAACUGCAUUCAAAACUGACUGACUAGAGUGUGGUAGAGGGUGGUGGAAUUUCCUGUGUAGCGGUGAAAUGCGUAGAUAUAGGAAGGAACACCAGUGGCGAAGGCGACCACCUGGACCAACACUGACACUGAGGUGCGAAAGCGUGGGGAGCAAACAGGAUUAGAUACCCUGGUAGUCCACGCCGUAAACGAUGUCAACUAGCCGUUGGGAGCCUUGAGCUCUUAGUGGCGCAGCUAACGCAUUAAGUGACCGCC